ACAAUUGCAUAGAAAGAAAAACAAAACUAAAAUGCAUUUUUAUAAUGGUGAAUGCAAUAAUUUGCACGAAAUCUUAAAGUAAAAAAAUUAAAAACUUUGAUAAUUGUAAACUUACAAAUUCAAAUUGAAGUUAGCGGCUUAUAAUUCUGACUAGAAAUGGGAAUUGUGCAUAUGUACAUAUGAACAAAACAAGAUUGCAUUAUAUCCAAAUGUGCAUUCCUAUGCUUUUAAGCAAUUUAGAGAUUCUAGUUUUUCAUCUUUGACUUUUCUAGUCGAAGAAAACUGUCGCGCAGAGCUCAAAAAGCUAGGUUGUUUGGAAAAGGUAAGCUGGGCUGAAAAGAGAGCGGUAAUAGCAUUUGUAUUUGUGCAAUCGAGUGAGCGAGUGCUGCAAUAAGAAAAGAUCGGCUUUAAGUAUCUUACGUAUACAAAAGUGAAAGAAUUAAAGUUUAGUUAAUAUCAAUUCAGAUGUCGAGGUAGCUGGACUAAAUGCGGUGACUCAGUCGACAAAAACACUUAAAAUUCCAGUGAACUGCAUAUUAAUUCACAAACUUUUGGUAGUAUAUUGAUUGAAAACUAUCACAAAUAUUAUAAUAUUAGGCCAUAGUAAUGGCUAUGAACAAUUUAUCAAUUGAUGGCGAGUUUCGUUACAUCAUACAGUGGUUUAACGAGUGGAGUGAGUUGCAGCGCGAUGACUUUGUACCGGUGUUGUUAGAGUAUCUACAGCAGGGAAUUCCUAACGAGGUUUAUAUGAACGGCAUUGUAAACUCUGUGUCCCAAAGCAGCAUUCAGGAUAAGCCAAUGAGUUUAUUCCAAUGUAGGAUAAAACUCUUCCGUGAGUGGAACAAAAAAUGGCCUGCAGAAUUAAAACUGAAGUUGCAGGAAAAAGUUACCGAAAUAGAUUCAAAAGUGGGUGAAAAGCUUACAAACGAAAUCACGCCUAAUGGCAAUGAACAUGUGAAUGGUUGUAACGGUGAUGCAGUCGCGACAGAAACAUGCGAUGAAGUUAAUGAAGUAAAUGGAGAGAAUAAAACAACUGUUGAAAUAGUUGACGAAUCUAAUGAGGUUGCAGAGGUGUCAAAUAAUUUGGAGAGCCAUAUUGUAGAAGCACUAAAUAAUGAAACUCCAGUCGAUGACAAUAAUAUGAAUGAAAACGGCGGCGAUAACCAGAUUGAAGACACAAAUCCCAUAUCAACCGUGGUCACAGAUACUGCUAUCGAAAAUUCUAUUAAUAAUGCACAGUUACAUUUGGAACCAGAUGAACAAGUUCAAAUACAAGCACAAAAUGCAUUCGAAGAAAAUAUAGCUGUAGUCGAUAGCAUUGCAACCACCACUGCCACUGUCGCAUAAAAGCAUCGACUGAUCCAUAAAAAGAAAAGAAACAUCAAAUAGCAGUUAUUUACCGGCUCUAGCAUGGCUACUAAUAGUAAGCAAGAACAAAUAUGGAAUUAAUUAUCUACAUUCACAUCUCAUAUAAACGGAACACGAUCAACGUAUUUAAGUGAAUAAAUGAAUUAGAUUUACAAAAUAUGAAAUGAGAUGUGCUAAAACAAAACUUUUGCAACACUUGCAUUAAA
rnacentral:misc_RNA from 1 species